rnacentral:lncRNA from 1 species
UUCUAAUUCUAUGUGCGAAGAAACCGAAGCACUGAAUGUUUAAGUCAAUACCCCAAGGUUACCUAGCCAGUAAGUUAUAGAGCAGACAUUCAGACCCACACCGUCUGGCUCCAGAGUCCAGAUUUUAACCACUCUACAGCCUCUCGCUAGAGUUCACUGAUUGGUGUAGUGAGCCUAUAAGUGAACUGAAAUUACUGGAUAAAAACUCUACUUUGGGAAAUCAGAAGACACAGCUGGGGAGGAUGGGUGCCCUGUUCGGUGUCGACACUAGUGACCAGACGCGUAGUCCCAAUCCUGCUCUGGGGAUGAAGUAAUGAGACAACAUCUGGUAAUCUUUUGGGAACUCUUCCCCAGUGGUAAGUGAGCUCUGAAAAUAACUAGUGCUUAACUGGGCAAAAUGAAAUUUUAGGAGGUUGUGUGAAUUUUAUGCUGCAGUCUUCCUAAUUAAAUCCAGCCAGCCUGGCCUGGCCACAGGAUUCGACUCCUGCUCAGUGCCCUGAGGAAGGAAGGGAUUUACCUGAUUUACAUUCUGUCACCAAAUGACACAAAGGACCACACUAGUUGAGAAGCACCUGUCACCAUUUAUAACCAUGUUCCUUUGGUAUUUGUCUUGAUUCCUUUAAGAGUAAACAAACAUUUUGUGAAUUUAAUGUUAUAUACAGACUUGGAAAGAUUUUUUUUGUGUGUACCAUAACAUUGUCAGCUGUGUUUAAUGAAAUCUGGUGGCCUUGGAGAGUCUAUUUUUCCCCUUUGGCACCCAACAGGAGUAGAAAGACUCCAAGAAAAUGUAUCCAUAAGGGGCAAUCUGAAUGUAACCCAACAGACAGAUGUUUCAAGAACAUGCUUUUUUUAGUCAAAUAUGAUCUGUGAUGCACGGAAUGUCACAGGGCUUGAAAGAAACCAGAACUGCAGCGGCCUCAUUGAGCUGAAAUACAAGGGUACCACGGCUUGUUAACAGAGUUUAACGGCUUGUGUGCUCUUUCACCCUGUUACACGCCUAGUAAGUAAUAAAAAUGUACGAGAGAUUAAAAAAAAUUCUGAUUUGUGAAACACAAAAUCUCUGCUAUGACUUAGAAAUAGUUUUUAGUGUUACGACUACAUUUUUAUAUGUAUUUGAAAGUGCAACUACCUAGCAGUUUGUAGAGAGCUAAUGUGCAUGAAUGCAAGUUUUAUUUAAAUAUGUGGUUCUUUACCUUUCACCAGCACUCACAUAUAUGCACACACUUUUUAUCAAGG